GAGCCCAUAACACUUUGGCAGCUCAUCUCUCAUGCCAAUGAUAUUUCCAACAGAAUUAUUAUUUCAGUCACUAAGUCACAAGCCUACACCUGCAAAAAAUAAAAAUAAGAGAAUAACACAGCAGUGGAAGGUCCCUCCCUCCUUGUACUGGUGGAAUAUUAAAGCUUCUUCAAAGUAAUUAAACACAGGUUUCAAACAGCAAGCCUGGCUGGCAGAUCAGUGAAACCAUUUUCUCUUUCCCAGGAAGCUGAGGAGAAGUUCCUUGUCAGCAGCCGAGGAGGGCAGGGAUCCGUACACACCGUGCUCGCAGCGGUGCUCGCUCCCCGGGAGUUGCUGGGGCGGCACAGCAGGUCCCGGGCACCGGGGAGGCAGCUGUGAAACCAAACCUCAGCUGAGUUCUUAUCCAAAUCACCAUAAACGAGCUAUGGCCCAAGAUGAUGAUGUGGGUCAGAUUCUUGAGCCGCACAGAGGUCCUGCGCUGGGCACGGCCACGAGAACUGCAGAAAACGGAGGUGAGCCAAGAUGGACCAUUUGGAUCCCUCACCUCUGCAGUGGCCUGGCUGAGAUGUCACCGGCCUCCGUGAUUACUCCUCACACACUACAACCAGUUGCCGGCAGUGAAGAGCACCUUUGAAAAGCAUAUCUUGGUUUGCAGCUGGAGGAGAAGAGCAGGAGGAGCUUCCCUUGCCUCGAAGGAGCAUCUGGAGGGGAUGAGAUGGGCUAUUUGUGCCAGUCAUGUACCGAGCUCUGAGCCAACGACCGUCCCACAACUGCCAAGAACGCAGUUGAAGCCGGAGUCUCCCAUAUUUUCAUCUUUCCACUUGUUCCCUGGCCAACAUCCUCAGCUUCUGUUCAAGCUACCAUCUCCCUCAGCCUGUGCAGCGAUCUUCUCCCUCUCCACUGCUCCUUGCCCAGCGGCAGCCAGCACGAGGAGGCAAGAAAUAACUGUAAAUGGGAGAGACUUCUCUGGUUUGGUUGGCAUGGGGUCCUGAUUGCCAACCGCCUGUCUCCCCUGCUGGCUGGUGGCAACUCUUUUUGGAGGCGAGGAGGGAGGCAGAUGCUCAGCGAAACUCAUCCAGGGAGCAGUGCUGGAGGGAGCAGAAGAGCAAACGGCAGCAGAGAUGUUGCAGAAAGGAUGAGCAAAAAUAGUGGGAACAUGGAAAAGCAGGCAAGGCAGGCUUGCUGAGGGCUGCUAGUUGUGUGCUCCUGCACCAAGCCUUCCUCCGCUGGUCGGGACUGAAACACUCUUCACACUCUUCAUUCCUGCAAGCACCCCUGCUCAACUCAGGCAAGUUGGUCACCUGGACACCUUACGUGGUUGUUCUCCCUCCAGAUGGCAGAUGGUGAUGCCAAGACAAGCUUUGCGGUGGUUUUCCAGCUGUGGAUGCCAGAUGGUGCUUCUUGGACAGCCACAAAGAUAAAGCCAACUUUUUCCUGACUCAGCUUGGCUUCCAGAGCCUCAGCUGCUAUCGCAGAGGUGAAAGAUGCUAUCACAACAA
rnacentral:lncRNA from 1 species